rnacentral:pre_miRNA from 12 species
CUACUGGAAUCUGUGCUCCGGGGGCUGUGCCGGGUAGAGAGGGCAGUGGGAGGUAAGAGCUCUUCACCCUUCACCACCUUCUCCACCCAGCAUGGCCGGCACACUAUGGUCUACGGCACAU